rnacentral:rRNA from 1 species
AGAGUUUGAUCCUGGCUCAGAACGAACGCUGGCGGCGCGUCUUAAGCAUGCAAGUCGAACGGCAAGAAGAAGCUUGCUUCUUCCUAGAGUGGCGGACUGGUGAGUAACGCGUGGAUGACGUACCCUCGUGACGGGGAUAGCCGGUAGAAAUACCGGAUAAUACCGGAUAAGGUCUCACGGAAUAAAGGCGUGAGAGGAAAGCAGCGUAUGCUGCGCAGGAGGAACGGUUCGCGGCCUAUCAGCUAGUUGGCAGGGUAAAGGCCUACCAAGGCGACGACGGGUAUCCGGCCUGAGAGGGUGGACGGACACAUUGGGACUGAGAUACGGCCCAGACUCCUACGGGAGGCAGCAGCUAAGAAUAUUCCGCAAUGGGGGGAACCCUGACGGAGCGACGCCGCGUGGACGAUGAAGGUCGGAAGAUUGUAAAGUCCUUUUAUACAUGAAGAAGAAGCUAAGAAGGAAAUGGAAUAGCGGUGACUGUAGUGUAUGAAUAAGCACCGGCUAACUACGUGCCAGCAGCCGCGGUAACACGUAAGGUGCGAGCGUUGUUCGGAAUUAUUGGGCGUAAAGGGCAUGCAGGCGGUCGUGCAAGCCCGGCGUGAAAGGUGGGGGCUCAACUCCCAAACUGCGCUGGGAACUGCAAGGCUUGAGUUUCUGAAGGGCAGCCGGAAUUCCACGUGUAGGGGUGAAAUCUGUAGAUAUGUGGAAGAACACCAAUGGCGAAGGCAGGCUACCGGCAGAAGACUGACGCUGAGGUGCGAAGGUGCGGGGAGCAAACAGGAUUAGAUACCCUGGUAGUCCGCACAGUCAACGAUGUGCACUAGAUGUCUGUCCACGAGGAUGGGUGUCAAAGCAAACGCGAUAAGUGCA